rnacentral:lncRNA from 1 species
GGAGGAGAGGGACAGAAGCUGGUGGCGCCACGUGUACCAUAGCUCCGGGAAGCCGUGGAGGAAGAGAACAACUGGGCCUGACCCAAUUGAUGCCACGUGCAUAUUAAUUCCAUUGGUACUCACCGUUGUGUGCUCUAUUUUCUCCAUCUCUUUUCUCCUCACUCUCUCUUAACUCAAUUUCUUAAUCACCACUAUAAUCUGGUGUUGCAGGGAAUUUAGGUAAAUGGAGAGUGGGAAGAGAAUUUCUCUUUUCCUAUUUGGAAACAAAUUCCAAAUGAUUUUGUUCCUAAUGAUGUUAUCAAAGACGAUCCAAGUCCUUCCUUUUUAAUCUCAUUCCAAAAUUCCCCAGGUAAGUGUAAUUAACCAUUAAUUUCUAAGUGUAAUCUUUGUAAAUUAAUAUGUUUUUGAAUAAAUAAAUUGUCUUAAUUUUUAUUUACACAAAUAAACGUGUUUAUUAUCUUCCCGUAGAAGUAUCAAAUUUUAAUAUGUGAACAGUGAUAUUCCGUAAUUACAAUUUUAUAAUAAUAACAGCAUUAAAGAGUUUUUCAAUAUAUAUUGAGUUUAAAUAUUAAAAUUGUUUAGGAUAAUAACUUAUUAGGACCUAAGUUUACUUCUCCCCCGUCUCUUUAUAUGCAAUUCUUGUAAAAAUCAAAUUCAAAAACUAAAAACAUAAGCGCAGCCAAAAUUUUCUAUGUAGCCAGUAACGCUGAAAUAUUGUUUCACAAUAGUCAACUCAAUACAUGACUACUUUUUUAUUCUCGUAUUUAUUUUAAUUUUAAAAAUCAUGAUAUACAUAACCAACUACAUUAUAAAAAAAUAAAUCUCUUAAGAGGGUUAUACUUUGUCAUGAUCAAAAUAAAUAUACAAGUUUAGAAAAAUAUUAACAUUUUUUUAUUAAUAAAAACAAUAUAUUGAAUGGCAACAUCUUUUAUACCGUGGCAAUCACACUUAUUUUUAAAUUUGAUUACAUUUUUUUAUUAAGCCUAUUAAUCCUUACAUGUUGAGUGAAGGAGAGUUUCUUCCUUCACUCCCACAAUUUUUUAAAUUUUGAAACUAACUUUGAUUUUUUAUUCUUUGAUCCAUAAACAUAGCGGAUUACACUGUCUAAAAUCACAACCUAUGUAUUGUGAAAAUGAAAAUCCGCAAUAAAAAUGAUACUAUAGAUCCAAAACCAAACAAAAAUUUACUUAACUUCUUCUUCGAACAGAGAACCGUCAAGAAAAAUCAUCGAACCACCACUAAGUCGUCGGAAACACCACCAAUAACUACGAAAAGAGAAACACCUUCUUAUGCCAAGAGAUUGAAUAGUGUUGUCGUUGACAGAGUAAUGCAGUAUGUCUGUGUGCAAAGGAAGAGGGAAGAGUAGAGUGUAAGUAUUGUGUGUAUUUUAGGAUUUUUAGAAAAUAUUAGGGAUAAGUUUAUCUUUGCACAACAUUGUGGGGGUGUAAGUAGAAAAACG